AGCAGCCGCGGUAAUUCCAGCUCCAAUAGCGUAUAUUAAAGUUGUUGCAGUUAAAAAGCUCGUAGUUGAAUUUCGGGAUCAAUUAAUUGGUCGUGCCUCUGGUACGUACUGAUUUUAUUGGUUUCUCCCUUCUGACGAACCAUGAUGUCAUUAAUUUGGUGUCGUGGAGAAUCAGGACUGUUACUUUGAAAAAUUAGAGUGUUUAAAGCAAGCUAACGCUUGAAUACAUUAGCAUGGAAUAAUGAAAUAGGACGUUUGAUCCUAUUUUGUGGUUUCUAGGAUCGACGUAAUGAUUAAUAGGGAUAGUUGGGGGCAUUAGUAUUCAAUUGUCAGAGGUGAAAUUCUUGGAUUUAUUGAAGACUAACUACUGCGAAAGCAUUUGCCAAGGACGUUUUCAUUAAUCAAGAACGAAAGUUAGGGGAUCGAAGACGAUCAGAUACCGUCGUAGUCUUAACCAUAAACUAUGCCGACUAGGGAUCGGAUGAUGUUAAUUUUUAAUGACUCAU
rnacentral:rRNA from 1 species